rfam:Flavobacterium sp. EM1308 contig00072, whole genome shotgun sequence.
CCCUAGCCCUGAUGGGAAUGGAAAGCCUCGAGGAAAUAAACCUAUUUUUCCUGGACCGACAGAGCGACCAACGGAAGCUCCUGACGGGACAAUAGGAAAAAUGGUUUAUGACCGAGAGCUUGUAAUGGACAGCAGGAAAUAGC